AGCUCCUCUUUGCCUUCUGGCUUAGAUCUUGUGUAGUAUCUGUUCUUGUCAGCUUAAUCUCUGAUAGUCCUGCAUUGCGGGUCAUUCAUGAUUAUUCUAAUCUUUGGACCUCGCGACUUGGUCUCUGUGCUUGCGCAUGCCUCGUUGCACUGUGUCAUUGGGCUUACACUACCCCCGAUUGAUGCGAACUUCC
rnacentral:snRNA from 1 species